AAGUCGUAACAAGGUUUCCGUAGGUGAACCUGCGGAAGAUCAUUAACACGUAUCCAAACGUUAAACCCCCCUGUGAACCUUCAGUCGUACUCGUACGUCCGUUAGAAAAAGCAGCAAUCCCUGGUAAAUCAUCGCCGAACAGUUUUCGAUUCAGGGACGUCGUGUAAGUGGCCUGCAUCCCCAAGCAGUUAGUGUCUGAAAGUGUCACUAACGUUAGUGUCUGAAAGUGUCACUAACAUGUGUAAGGAUGACGCAGUCACGAUCGUUGGAGGCCCACACGGCCGACGACCGGGUCACUGGGUGCAAGCCCCCUUAUCACACCCCUGCUCUAUCUAUGGUGAUCCUGCGGGAAGUCCUGCGGUCGAACGCCGAAACCGAACAACUGUUAACAAUGGAUAUCUUGGUUCUC
rnacentral:misc_RNA from 1 species